rnacentral:misc_RNA from 1 species
AGUUCUUGAAAUAGCCAAUUUGAUGAGAGCUGUUGGGAGAGCUCCUGCCAAGCGGUCCUUCUUUUGAGCAGUCUUAUUGUACUCUAUAAACAUAUUCUCAACUAAAAACAGAAUUACAAAGAAAAGGAGUGGUGGACAAAAUAAUUGCCCCAACCUUUAGGGUUUCCUGUAUCUUUUGAACUUCGGGGUACCCGGGCAUUGAAGAGUUUGAACUUUGAAGUGUGUUUUUUGGUAAGUGCUUGUUGGUUGGAAGUGGUGGAACAAACAAUUUGCCUUGUAAAGUUAUACUGUUUCUUAUUGAUAGAAAUUAAGAUGCUAAAUGCCAAUUAAUACUUGUUUAAAGAUAAUUAGUCAAGAUGUUAAGUUUUUGGUUCAUCUACCACUCAAGGGAUAAAUUGUUGUUUAUGUUCACUAUGUUCUUGUGAGUGUGCUUUCUGAGGAAGUGGAGAUGCCAGCCUUUUGAAAUUAUAAGCUCUCUAUGCCAAUGGUUGGUUUGCAACUGCAUACCCACUGGUAGUUUUGCUAGGUAUUGAACAUCCAACAUCUUAGGCAAAUGAUGUGUUUGUUAGCUUAUUGGGUCCAUGGUUCUAUGAACUACUCUGCUUUUAUUAAUAAUUUGAUGUAUUGAAAAUUUUGGG